rnacentral:rRNA from 1 species
GACGAACGCUGGCGGCGUGCCUAAUACAUGCAAGUAGAACGCUGAGGAGAGGAGCUUGCUCUUCUUGGAUGAGUUGCGAACGGGUGAGUAACGCGUAGGUAACCUGCCUUGUAGCGGGGGAUAACUAUUGGAAACGAUAGCUAAUACCGCAUAACAAUGGAUGACACAUGUCAUUUAUUUGAAAGGGGCAAUUGCUCCACUACAAGAUGGACCUGCGUUGUAUUAGCUAGUAGGUGAGGUAAUGGCUCACCUAGGCGACGAUACAUAGCCGACCUGAGAGGGUGAUCGGCCACACUGGGACUGAGACACGGCCCAGACUCCUACGGGAGGAAGCAGUAGGGAAUCUUCGGCAAUGGGGGCAACCCUGACCGAGCAACGCCGCGGGAGGGAAGAAGGGUUUCGGAUCGUAAAGCUCUGUUGUAAGUCAAGAACGGGUGUGAGAGUGGAAAGUUCACACUGUGACGGUAGCUUACCAGAAAGGGACGGCUAACUACGUG